rnacentral:rRNA from 1 species
UGGGGAAUCUUGCACAAUGGGCGAAAGCCUGAUGCAGCCAUGCCGCGUGAGUGAAGAAGGCCUUAGGGUUGUAAAACUCUUUCAGCGGGGAAGAUAAUGACGGUACCCGCAGAAGAAGCCCCGGCUAACUCCGUGCCAGCAGCCGCGGUAAUACGGAGGGGGCUAGCGUUGUUCGGAAUUACUGGGCGUAAAGCGCGCGUAGGCGGCCUGUUAAGUUGGGGGUGAAAGCCCGAAGCUCAACUUCGGAACUGCCCUCGAUACUGGCAGGCUUGAGUCCGAGAGAGGUGAGUGGAAUUCCCAGUGUAGAGGUGAAAUUCGUAGAUAUUGGGAAGAACACCAGUGGCGAAGGCGGCUCACUGGCUCGGUACUGACGCUGAGGUGCGAAAGCGUGGGGAGCAAACAGGAUUAGAUACCCCCGUAGUCC